CCUACGGGAGGCAGCAGUGAGGAAUAUUGGUCAAUGGGCGGAAGCCUGAACCAGCCAAGUAGCGUGCGGGAUGAAGGCCCUACGGGUCGUAAACCGCUUUUGCACGGGGAUAACACCCUCCACUUGUGGAGGUCUGCAGGUACCUUGCGAAUAAGGGCCGGCUAAUUCCGUGCCAGCAGCCGCGGUAAUACGGAAGGCCCGAGCGUUAUCCGGAUUCAUUGGGCUUAAAGGGAGCGUAGGCGGGCGUUCAAGUCAGCUGUAAAAUCGCGCGGCUCAACCGCGCCCCGCAGUUGAAACUGGACGCAUUGAGUGCACAACAGGCAGGCGGAAUUCGUGGUGUAGCGGUGAAAUGCAUAGAUAUCACGAGGAACCCCGAUUGCGAAGGCAGCCUGCCGGGGUGCGAGUGACGCUGAGGCUCGAAGGUGCGGGUAUCAAACAGGAUUAGAUACCCUAGUAGUC
rnacentral:rRNA from 1 species